AGGAUGCGUUCGAUUCGCAUGUCCAUCAAACAGUUCUUACCAAUUGAUACGUUCAUAGUAAACUUUUAAUAGUUCGAAGCUAGAAAAAUGCUGAGUCGAAGUUCUUUCACACUGCUGCUCAUUGGCUUGAUGGUAUCCGAGUUCUUAAUCGGGGAUGUGAGCGGAGCACCACCCGGGAGGAACGUAAACGAAAAAGACAUGUAUGGAGAGACAGCUCUGCAUAGAGCUGCUUUUGCUGGCAAAGUGAAGAAAGCUCAAAACCUCAUCGCUGAAGGAGCCGACCCUAAUAUUGGAAAUGAUUGGGGUGAG